rnacentral:rRNA from 1 species
CAGUCGCCACGGUAAUACGAAGGGUGCAAGCGUUACUCGGAAUUACUGGGCGUAAAGCGUGCGCAGGCGGUUGUGUAAGACAGGUGUGAAAUCCCCGGGCUUAACCUGGGAACUGCGCUUGUGACUGCACAGCUAGAGUAUGGCAGAGGGGGGUGGAAUUCCACGUGUAGCAGUAAAAUGCGUAGAGAUGUGGAGGAACACCGAUGGCGAAGGCAGCCCCCUGGGCCAAUACUGACGCUCAUGCACGAGAGCGUGGGGAGCAAACAGGAUUAGAUACCCCUGUAGUCCCUGUCUCUUAUAC